GACGUAGGGCGCGAGCGUUGUCCGGAUUUAUUGGGCGUAAAGAGCUCGUAGGCGGUGUGUCACGUCGGCCGUGAAAACCUGCAGCUUAACUGUGGGCGUGCGGUCGAUACGGGCAUCACUGGAGUUCGGCAGGGGAGACUGGAAUUCCUGGUGUAGCGGUGAAAUGCGCAGAUAUCAGGAGGAACACCAGUGGCGAAGGCGGCUCACUGGACCGGUACUGACGCUGAGGCGCGAAAGCGUGGGGAGCAAACAGG
rnacentral:rRNA from 1 species